GGUGGGGUUCCCGAGCGGCCAAAGGGAGCAGACUGUAAAUCUGCCGUAAUCGACUUCGAAGGUUCGAAUCCUUCCCCCACCACCA
rnacentral:tRNA from 2 species